UCGCGAAAACUUUGCAAUACACGAAAGUGUGACAGGGCUAUCCCGAGUGCCAUCCGCUGAGGAAGGCUUUUACCCAGUCUAGAACGCUGGGGGAAUAAGGAGAGGGCAAGUCUGGUGUCAGCCGCCGCGGUAAUACCAGCACCCCGAGUUGUCGGGACGAUUAUUGGGCCUAAAGCAUCCGUAGCCUGUUCUGCAAGUCCUCCGUUAAAUCCACCUGCUCAACGGAUGGGCUGCGGAGGACACCGCAGAGCUAGGAGGCGGGAGAGGCAAACGGUACUCAGUGGGUAGGGGUAAAAUCCAUUGAUCUACUGAAGACCACCAGUGGCGAAGGCGGUUUGCCAGAACGCGCUCGACGGUGAGGGAUGAAAGCUGGGGGAGCAAACCGGAUUAGAUACCCGGGUAGUCCCA
rnacentral:rRNA from 1 species